GGGGAAGUCUGGGUGAAUCAGGCUGGAGAAAUCAGCUAGGAAAGGGGUAGAAAGAGCAGAUAUGGGGCUUUCAUUACUGGCUCCCUGGAAAUAGGGAGACAGAGUGAAAACAGGAACAGGAAUUUCCUUGGGAGUCUGACUGUCAGAGUCCCCUGGGAGGAGUGGCAAUGGAAACCUGCUGUUGAAAAAGGGGCCUCCAGGGAGAAACCCCUUUGUGGUAGUGCUCAAUAAAGAGAACACAGAAUAUUCCUGAGGAAGCCCGAAAACAGGACCAACUGAGAGGUGUUUGGCUGGCUGGUACAUGCUCAGGGUCUAACUGAUGGCCAUAUGUGGAUCAGGAAGGAAUUUCUACCCAGCUCACACUGGAAGUUACCUUAGAGGUGAUCAAGUCUGCCACAUGUAAUAUCAGCUUCAACAUCUGAUGUUAUGACAUCCUGAUGGAUUCCAAGAGGAACUGCUGGAAUCCACUGACAAAUCAAGCCAUACUGGAAGUUGGCAGUGUUUGUGCUAGUCUCAGUCAAAUAUUCCAGAGGGGCACAAGGAAGAAAAUAUCUGUGUAAAAAAGGCAGCUCAAGAAGGGGGGAGAGAAGGGAAAACCAUAUUAAACUACUACAAUGUGCACACUUUAAAUUAUUUCCCUCUCUACCCUCUGCUCCUUCUUUUGACAGUUUUGCUGUAUUUGUUUUUCAAUCUGCUCACUCUCUGCUUUCAUUUCACCUUAUUUUUAAUCCCAUUCUCUCUGGCCCCCUCAGCUUCUUUUUACAUAACCUUUCACAAAGAGAUUGCAAAUCAAAAAAUGUUUGAGUUGAACUCUCAAACCCAUGAUGUGAAGAGUGGAUUUGAAAUUUCAGGCUAUCUGGCCAUAGGGCCCAAUUCUGCUCCAAUGACAUCAACAUACAAAUCUAUUGACUUAGGAGCAGGAAUGGGCUCCUAGUAAGGUCACUAAGCCACUCUAGGAUGUAUGUUCCCAUAUAUCCCAAGUCUCGGGGAAAAAAGACAAUGAUUGUGUCCCAGAAAGGAUAAACUUAUCCUCUUAUCCAGAGAACAAGUGCAGAUUAGACCAGUUAGCCAAUCCUUGCUACAAUUUCUGACUGAUCUGUUUGGUUUGGCCUCACAGCCAGAGGAAAGUUAUCAAUGUAAACAAACAACAACCAAACAGGACUGAAAGAAGAAAAGAAAAUAGAAGGAAAAAUCAAUCAAACUGAAAUGGUGGGGGGAGGGAAGUAAGAGAUCCUUUGUUCUCAGUUCUGUGGGUGCAGGUAUAGUUAUUAGAAGAUAAUCCCCACUUGUUCUCUUCUUUGACAGCUUGAUAUGUGUGAGGAUUUAGACUGUAGAGAAUGAAAAUGUCACACUUAUACCUUAAGGCUUGUUCUCAUGUGGCUGAGUUUGAUGUGAUUUGAUGGCUCACAAGGCUGGUUUAGAAUGAUUGUAGGCAUGUUCAAUACCUGACCUUCUGAGGACUUGCUGGUGGCCUGAGAGCACAAAGCAUACUGUAUAACAUUCUCCCCUCUCCAGUGCUGACAUUUGUCACCUUGGCACUUUUUGGAAAAACAAAACUAACUCAGAGCCUUAAAAGGCAUUUCUUUGCAAACUAUUUUGACACAUAGAUAUGAAAUAUUUAUAUGAAGAAAAGAAUAGAGCUUUAAUUUUAAAAAAGUAAAACACUGUUUAUUUAGAAAACAUUUACUAAAGUAAAAGUGGCCAUUUGUUGUAACUUGUAUACUACAUGGUUAGCAUAUUAACAUUGACUUUAUGAUAUGGAGUAAGCAAAUUGUUUCUGUAAGGCUUAAAUAUACAAUAGACCUUUCGUAUCAGAAAGUAGUUCCUUCUAGGAUAAUGUACAGCUAUCAUGGAUUUGCCAGUUCUAGUCUACUUGACUUAAGUGUUUCAUACACACAACUGUUAGAAAAAAAUCCCUUAGUCUAGUGAACAAUUGGCUUUGUGUUAUUAUAUUUUUAUAUAUAUAUUUAAUAUUUGUUAUAUUUGAGUAUAAAAUAUAAUCCACCUGAAUUUGCAGCUUAUUCAUAUCAGCUUCCGAAUACAAAACAUGAUCCCAAUCCUACCAUCAUUUAUACAUAUGCUUAAUGUUAUGCAUUUGAUCAGUUCCACUGAAACCUUGAGAGGAAAGAUAAGCACAUGCAAAGUAGUUGUAGGAUGGGGAGCCUAACAUGAAUCAGUCCCAGUAUUUCUAGAGCAAAUGCAAAAUUCCUAAAUGAUGGACACUUUCAUGGUAUUUUUAGUACAAAUAUGUUUGAGAUAUUGUGUGAAAGGCAGCCUCAGAGAAUUUUGUGUCUCAAAACAUUUCUGACACAGAUCAUUCUGUUCCAUUAGGUAGAGGAGGCUGCAGGGGAAAAGUGCCUCUGAAACAGGAGAAAACGAAAGGAAAACAAGGUGGGACAAAUCAGAUUUGUUAUGUUCAGCAAAUUGUCCGGAAGCAGGCCAUCUACUGCUUGCCAUCACCACUGGAAUAAGAUGUAAAACAUUUUAAUCUAUAGCAGUGCUUCAAGCCUUUACAGUGGUCUGAAUUAAAAAGCUAACAUUUACUAACACCGUUAACAGUUAUUUCCCAUUGUAAGGAUCGUGCCAGUGUGAAACUGUGAUUACUAUUUAAUUGCAACCAUUGUACUUGAACGAGUAAGGGAUGUCUAUAAAAUGUGGGCCAAAUUUAUCGUUUGGAGCAAAUAGGUCUUGUGAGUCUACUGCUCAUUUCUCCGCUUAACACAUUACCUAGCUAGAAAAAACUAGCUUUACUGGAGAUGAUAAUUUUAAUAUUUUGGAUAAGACUUCUUUUUGAUAGCACAAGAUAAUUUUGACUCAGUAGAGUUCACAAGUCUUAUCUACAUCUUUGGUGUAUUAGAACCUUCUUGGCAGUUGCAUAUAUCUGAAAAAUUUCCCCUUAGGCAGCACAAGUUGCCUUCAGCCUGGCUAAUGUACCUAGAAUGACAUACCAUGCUGCAGAGUGUAAUACUUCCACUCAGCAAUGGAAGGGAAGUGGCCAAAAGUUGUUACCAUCUGAAGGCUAACAGAUUUGAAACAUUUUGUAGCUCCAGUCCAUAUCUUAGAGGACAGAGGUCAACAAAACAAAUGGUCACCGUUGCUAGAUUUCAUUUAGAAAUGUAUGCAAAUUCUAAUUUUUUGGCUCUCAUUGUAUUGUUGGGGUCAAUGCUUUCUGGAACCAGCAAGUUCACGACUUAGAAAACAAGCUUCAGACAAAGAACUACUCCCGAUAUCACUCAACAUCUGUUUUUUUUAAAUGAUGAAACAAAUUUAGUAUAUUAUUUCCAAUCCAACAGUUUCCAGUCACUAAAUUUAGAUGACUCCUGCUCAACAAGUUUAAUAGUCUUAUUCCCAUUCGUAUAAGGUGAGAUGGAACUCUGAGAAUUUUGUUAAAAAAUAGAAUUUUCUAAAAUAUUUUAAAUUGUCCAACAAAACUUUCAGCUCAGUGGAGUCUGGCCCAGCUGUACUUUGAAAACUAGGCCUUUUGUUUAGUUGUCUAAAUAUGAAUGUAGGGGGUUAAUCUUAGGCACUCAAGCUUUGAAAAAUUUGCCCCAGUUAACUUUAAAAUUACUACUUUUUUCCUUUGUCUUCUCAUAGAUUAUGUAGAUGUUUCACAUUAUUUCCUAAAACUUGUAAUUCAUGUAAAACAAAACAUCUUAAUAUCCUACAGCAAGUCUUUUUGUUAUUUGGCAAUGUAUUUGGUUAAGCUGUACAAAGUUUGUCAUGAUGCUACUGGAAAUAACAACUAAGAAAAUAUUGAACUUACUCCUGUAAAUACUUCACAAAAUACUGAGUCUUUAGCUACAGAGAUACAUGAACUAUGUUAAUUUUCCUGGCAGGCUCAAUAGAGAGGCCACAGCCUUGAUCCUGCAACCACUUAAAAAUAUGUGCAACUUUACUUAUAAGACUAAUCCUUUGGAAGCCAAAUGGAUCAUUCAUGCGAGCAAAGGUUGCAUGUGAUUACAUGUUUGCAGUACCAUGGCCUAAAAAAUUUAGUGGGCAUAGAUGCUCUGUUAUCAAUAUACUUCAACAGGUGUUUCCUCCCCUCCCAGCCCUCUCAACUACAUCCUAGUCAGCACAGCAUGUAAGUAUUUAAAUUAGCACACACUUAAAUUCCCUGCUAAAUAAGUAAGGCAACAAGGUGGAUGAAGUAGUAUCUUUUAUUGGACCAACUUCUUCUGAAAGCUUGCUCCUCUCACCAACAGAAAUUGGUCUAAUAAAAGAUAUUACCUCGCCCAGAGUGUGUCUCUAAUAUCCUAGGUCUGGCAUGGCUACAACUACACUGCAUGAAAACUAGUAAGGCAGCACACUGGCAGGGCAGCAUGAAGAAAAUUUUACUAUUAAGGCCUGUACUGCAAAUGUUCUAUGGAUGAAAAGGAAUGUCAGGAUCAUCAGACUAAUGUAUUUCAUGAAAACUAAAUCUGAGCGCAUGAAAUUCAUUCAAUCUUUUUUUUUAAAUUAAUAUACCAAAAGCAGUAGUUCUUAGGUGAAAUAAUAUGUUUGGCUACCACUGUGUGGCUGAUUCUGCAUACCACUACUGAAAGCAGCAAUGAGGAAACAUCUUCAGGAGUAUUGUAAAAAUAUGGCCUUAUCUGGUAUUUGAUGUACAUUUUGUAUUUCCAGAAUACCUAUAGGCAUCUAGAUGGCUUAAAUAUGUCAAUGCCCAACCAUCACCAGUAUUGAAACAGUUAGUCUUCCAAUUAUCCUCCCAAUUCUGACAGUUUCUUCUAAUCUACUGAUCUCCACUGAAAUAAUUGCUUAUAGAAAAUGAAGAGCAUUUAGCAUCUCAAAGUUAUUUAAAAUAUCUUGUAAAGACUGGCAUUAAUGUAACAGAUGAUUACUACAAAUUCUGACUUAAUAAUAGCCUGUCUGGCUACUGGAGGCAAAACAGUAUCUACACAGAACUCUGGGUG